rnacentral:misc_RNA from 1 species
UAUAUAUAUAUAUAUAUAUAGUUGUAUUUAAAUAUGUUUGAUAGGCACGGAGCCAUAUUUUAUAUACCAGAUAUAUUUUAAUAAGUUUCAUAAUUUCUUUUAGCUAUAAAUUUAAGAGAAACACCAUCAGUUUUUUAUGUUACAUCAAUCUCUACAGGUUAGGGACGGGUGUGAGAAAAACACUUUUCAAUAGCUUUGACAUUAGAAAGAUGGGGCUCCAAUUGCAUUGCUGCUUGAAUCUCAUCCUGCAAGUUAUAUAAGAAAAGCAAAUAAAAACACUAUCAACAUGCUAAAUGGGAAACUACUUCGUGAAUUAAUUUGUUACAUACAUAUUUUUCAAUGGUUUCAGGUUUAAUAAGCUUGUCCUUCUUCUAGUGACUCUCAAAAAAUAUAGUUGCUAAAUCUAGUGGAUUACCAUCUUUGCUUCCAUUUACAAAAAUUAAAAAAUAAAUGUAGCCAUAUUAGUAUUUAUGUUGUCUUUUUUUUUUGUGCCAAUUCAACUUCAUUAACUAUGCUUUUAUUGCCUUACCAAUUCAUAAAUGAGCUCUCUCAUAGGCUUGCUACCAGUACGAGGAGGCAUUAUUAAAUUGACCUUAUUCUUUGAGUUUCCAACACUUGCUUCCUAAAUAUACAAGUCAAAUAAAAAGAAAUCGAAUAUGUUAACUAAUAUAAAACAUUAGAAGAACGAUUAAAACCUAAAUUAACAAAUUGGUAACUAGGAAAUUAAAUUAAACAAAGUCAGAGCUGGAUUUAAUUAUGAAAGGGGCAAAUUCUAGUCCAUUAUCUCAUUAUCAACCAAAUGUAUGAAUUUAAACCAAACAAAGAUCAAAUGCCAUUUUCUGUUGAUGUAAGAAUUAAUAAAGUAAUUAGUCUUUAUGCUUAAAUUAAAAUAUAAUAUAACAUGCUAAUAAAAAAAAUACAUAGUACAAGUUUUUGCUUCAUGCCUAUAUGACUAUAAAUAUCCUUGCAUAAACAAUUUCUUUGAUAUAGCAUCACUACAAAGAUGUGUUCAAUUAAAAGCAGGGGAAAGAGGAGAGGGGGGGAGUCGGCAACCAAAUUGAAUGCAAAACUUAUUAUUAAUCAAAAAGGCCAACGCAGCAAACAAAUGGAAUUCAGCAGCUAUAUGUUUAUGCAAUGCUUGCAGAACAUGAGAUUUUAAUAAAACUUUAGAAGAAAGAAAUUAGCAAGGAUAAUUUAAUAUAAUAUAUACUAGUAACAAAUCCCAAAAAGUUAAUCAAAUAUCCAAAAUAUCUCUUACAACAACCUCUUUUAAAGGAAUUA